AUAUAGGAAGUAUUCUUCCCCUAUUCCCCGCAGACACCAAGGCACAGCAGCUUUCCAAACUCUGAGACUUGAACACCUCCCUGUGAGCCCCAUUCCCUGUGCUGGAGGAUUUGAGAUGUGUCGCUUCUCUGGACGCAGGGAUGUUUUCUCGAGGCUUCUUCAACCCCCAGCCUUUCCUUGGGCCUGAGCUAAUUCUGUGUAGAUCUCUCCAGCUCCUGCUCCCUGAAGACAGAGAAGGGUCUUUCACUGCUUUAUCAACCAGUCUGAGUAGAGGCAUCUGAGGUCAGUAGAGGUCACCCAGACUCAGGGGCCAAACAACUGGGGCCUAAUGGAGGUUGGAAUUCCGCUGUCCCGGGCCCAUUACAAGGCCUCCGUGAGAGCAACGAUGACUGGGGAUAUAGUGCUGCUGGUGAUGUGGUGCUCAGACAACCUGGCUUCCUGUUUGUCCCCUGCCCUACCUGGCCCAAAAUUCUGUGGAGAAGACCCACAUACCUCUGGCAGCAGAAGUCAAAUUCUGUCAGUCAGUAAGGUGGAUCCCUGCCCUUCACCGGGGACCUCCAGCCAGAUGGUGCCUUUGGGGUGGCCCUGGCCACCAUGGUGCAGGUAA
rnacentral:lncRNA from 1 species